UACUAUUUCGAACGUCUGGCAUGUGAGAAAUUUUACUAUUUUUACGAGCGAUCUCUACCAGCGAUAUCUGGAAACAUUUUCGACAAUGUUCAGUUUGCGAUUGCGGCAAACGAUUUAGAAUCUCUACAACGUUUGUAUACGGAGCUUGAGAAGAAUAUCGAUGCUUCACGGACGAAUUCUGUUGACGAGCUACUGAACGGCGAAGUGAGCGCCAUCAACAACACAAGCAGAAGCCUCGCUAGAAAUUUUGGCGCAGAGAGCUACAUUCCGAAGUAUGUUCGAGAUAAGAAAGACAAAGCUUGCACUGCAAUAAGGUAGAGAAA